rnacentral:rRNA from 1 species
AGUACGAAAGGACCAAAAAGACGACACCUCUACCCCCCGCACGUGCCGCCCGAAACACUGAAGACACUCAAGCUAACUUACCCAUCACCCCGCCCAAGACAAGGGCAUU